AGUGAACGCUGGCGGUAGGCCUAACACAUGCAAGUCGAACGGCAGCACAGUAAGAGCUUGCUCUUACGGGUGGCGAGUGGCGGACGGGUGAGGAAUACAUCGGAAUCUACUUUUUCGUGGGGGAUAAUGUAGGGAAACUUACGCUAAUACCGCAUACGACCUUCGGGUGAAAGCAGGGGAUCUUCGGACCUUGCGCGAUUGAAUGAGCCGAUGUCGGAUUAGCUAGUUGGCGGGGUAAAGGCCCACCAAGGCGACGAUCCGUAGCUGGUCUGAGAGGAUGAUCAGCCACACUGGAACUGAGACACGGUCCAGACUCCUACGGGAGGCGGCAGUGGGGAAUAUUGGACAAUGGGCGCAAGCCUGAUCCAGCCAUACCGCGUGGGUGAAGAAGGCCUUCGGGUUGUAAAGCCCUUUUGUUGGGAAAGAAAAGCAGCAGGUUAAUACCCCGCUGUUCUGACGGUACCCAAAGAAUAAGCACCGGCUAACUUCGUG
rnacentral:rRNA from 1 species